ensembl:lncRNA
AUGCUGCUCUUUCCAUCCCCAUUAUCUCCUCUGUCUCAUCCCCGCGACCUUUGGUUUCCUUGAAAGGCUUUUGCAUUCUUUUAAAAUGAAAAUACCAAACGGUGCUCUUUCUGCGCAGACGCGCGGGAUGGUGCUGCAGAUUAGGUUUGAUGUUUUAUCGUCAUGGCGGCUCGCUCUUCAGGAAAAAAGAAAAAUCAUUUAACAGCAGUGCCAACUGCAGAGAGCAGAGCAUUGGGGAGUGUUUUGGUCACGUUUAACAUCGGGGAAGAUCAAACACAAACGGAGGCCUGCUAGACUGCAGCGGCCUUGCGUGGGAAUCCCACCAUGAUGAAGUCUGUGGCAGAACCACGGCCCCAAACGUCCCCAUCAGCAUCAUGUUACUGGGAGGCUUCAGAUGUCUUCAUUCAGAGGGAAGCCUCGAGUACGUCUUUCCUCAGAGUCUUAGCUUUUUUUUCUUUUUUUCUUUUUUGUCCUUUUGGAUGGCAGCGCACAUUCCCUGGCACGAUUUUCAAUAGCGCUCCCCCUGGGGUAGCAGGGGAAUGGCUAUCUCUACAAUUACACUGACAGCUCUUUUCUAAAGUGCACUUGAUUUAUUUGAUUUAGCUAAGAUUAAUGGUCCUCCCACCAAGCAGGCCUGGCUGAGAUGCGCAGCACAACACAGACUUCACCGCUGCAGAUGCACAGGUGUAUGCCAGCACUGGUGUACUGGAGAUCUGUAUAUAUUUAUACACAUAUGCACGAAAAGUCACAAAUCCAUGACCACUCUGAUCCAAUCUGGGUUUUUUUGACCUACGUCGCAUUUGAAAAUGAUUACAGUAGACAUCCACUAAAGAGUCCAGAACUGCCAAAAUAAAUCUAAUUAUUUAAAGAAUUGUUAUUUUAACUCAUAUAUAAUCAUAUUUACCUUUCUAGUUUUAAAAAUAUUGCAAAAACAAUAACAAAGCAAUUAAUGUUGGAUGCUUUUAUGUAUUCAAAAGCAUAUCACUGCAACAUAUAAAUAUGUAA